UGGUUUUCACCUGAACUACCUGGAUUGUGCACUAAAAAGAACUGUAAAUCGUUAUGUAUCUGUUUAGAAUUUUUAUUUUUACUGUUUGCAUCAUUGAAUAUAUUCAUUGUGAGGUAAUCUUGAAGCAGCCCGAAGCAGAACAGAGACAGCCCGGCCAGUCCCUCAGACUGUCUUGUACGAUUUCUGGAUUCACUUUCAGUGGCAGCAGCUACUUGAACUGGAUCCGACAGCCUCCGGGAAAAGGUCUGGAAUGGCUGGCAAAUGAAAGAGGAGAUAAAGGUUAUACGAACUACGCGAACUCAAUUAAAGGGAGAUUCACCAUCUCGACGGAUAGCAAUGGCGCAUAUCUGCAAAUGAACGCCCUGACAGCGGAUGACACGGCGGUGUAUUUCUGUGCCCGACAAUCACAGUAAUGCGUGUUGACUGCUUUUUCUCACAAAUACAUCCCUGUUUUGCGCUUUGGAGGAGGGUGGGGUUUGGCGUUGGGUUGUAUGGGGUUGGCAGAUUCUUUUUCUUUUUUAACUGAACACGAUCUGAUGACAAGUUUCACUAUUUAUUUUUUCAUCUUAAUUUAAUAUAUGUAUAUUAUUAAUACCGAAUUAAAUAGACCAGCAGCUUCAAAAAGGAGAGUAUAACAAUUAUUUUUAAUAAUCAAAAUACUGUAUUAUACAGUUAUGCUCACUGUAAAUAACUUAAACUGUACGCCUAUUUUAAUUAAACGUAUAGUUUCAGUCUUUGAAAUAAUGCCGAUUAACCCAUUUAUUUAUUUAUUAAAAUGGUCUUUGUGGCCAAUUUUU